GUGGCUGGCAGCCACCUUUGUUUCAUGGACCAUAACUGGUUUGCACUAAAAGGCUAUAGCAGAAGCUUUUAAAUGGAAAUUAACAGGCACGUUAACUUUUAGCAUGCAAAUAAUCUGCCUUCUUUGAAAGGUUGUGUGUGUGUAUUUACAGAGCAAAACACUGUGGCGAGCCCUGCCUCGCUUGUGUUUUGUGUAGAGAGAUCAAGAAGACCACUCUUUGACUGGUGUUCAUAGUUGCAUGGCAAAGCUACUCAUUCAUGUUGAGAUGGCCUUAUAGUGAACAAGGUAUGUAUGUGCAGGGAGUGUUCUUUUAAACUAGAGACGUGGGGGUAAUAGGUUGUCACUGGAGUGCUUUGGGUGUGCCUCCUCUAUGCCUUUGGCUCUGAAGAGGGAAGAGAUAGCAGGGCUGGUGUAAGCAAAGAAGGAAGUGCAUGGAUGUAUGUGUUUGGGUUUCAGUCCCUUGCCUGCCACCUGAAAAAGUAUCGGUUCUACCAACUUGUUUAAAGAGAUGUUUUGGUCAGUCCUGCCCUCUUUUUCAUUUCUGAACUCUGGCAAACAGUUGUUACGUGUCUGUGGUCCUUGCCACCAUUGUCAAAUAGAGCACUGAUAAAAAGAAGCAAUCAAACCAACAAAAAACCCACAACCUCAACUUCCCAUACUCUGGGAUCUGAUGCUCUGUCUUUUCCUCAUCCCAUGCCUUUUGUGCCUGUGGACUCUUAGUACAGCACCAAAGGAGAAGAAACAAAACGAUAGUGAGAACUUGAUAAUACCCAUCUUGCCUCUGAUUCCCCUCACGCUCUGUCACAGCUCUACCAAAAUGUAAGAUGUCUAAGAGUUAUUUGUGGAUAUGCUAGCUGGUGCCUCAAAUCUUAGGGAGCCCCUUAAAAAUUUAUACAUUUCUGAUAGAAAGCAGGUAGUUGUGUGAGCCAGCUAAAGCCAUGCUUACUUUAUUAUGGAGAAGUGGCAGUGAAUGCAGUAUAGCUUGCAGUAUCCAAGAGGGAUAUAUACUCACCUGUGAUUAACCUUUCUUGGCCAUUAAAUGUCACAGUUGGUGCGUAUACAUUGAGCAGAAAGAAUAUAUAUUUGUCAGUAAAAAGGUGACUGAAUGAAAGAAGUCAUGAAAUGACAUUUUUCAGUAGGUUUGUCAUAGCUGGAGCGUGGAGGAAAAUUGCUUUCUGUAAAUCUUGGCCCAACAGAACAAAACACACAUUUCUUUCCAGUUGGGAAGCCAUACUCAUAGACAUAAUGGAAGCACUGUGAGCUCUGACUUUUUCAAACUCUGAUAGAAACCAAUCUGCAAUCUUGACAGAUAUGAUCUUUUGCAGGAUGCACUGUUCAUUUACAGCAGCUAGAGACCUCAAUUAAUUUAUGAGUGAGGACAGCAGGCUGUGAACUCCCCAGCUCAGCCUAGGUGGAGAUGUCCCUGUCUGAAUUUAUGUUCAGGUAAUUUAAAAAGAUUUAUACAAAGCUUUUCUUUCAUUUUGAGAGUAGAUUAAAAUUCUAAUGGAAACCAUUUGUAUGCAUUUGUUGAAUUGAAUAAUAUUUAUUGCUGUAUGAAAAGGAGAAAGGGGAAAAAACGGAAGAAACACUGAAAAACUUUGCUAGCAAUGAAGUUAGUGAGGCAGGAAUAAGUAAGUAUGGAGGCAGAAACAACCUAAACCAGAAAGAAAUAUUUAGUAGAGCCUGUAGAAAACCUACUGUUUUAUAAAAACAUGAUGAAAGCAAUCUACACCUGUUUCUGAAGAGACAGAAAAUAGGAUGCUACCCAGUGUGUUUCGUCUCUCUGUUCCUUAAUCGAGCAUUUCCUUAACGCUUGAAAAGAAAACAGCUUCAUUGUGGACAUGAUGAUUACAACUCAGAACAUGCCCUCUCACUCUGGUAGCAGAGUGAUUUUUUUGUGGGGUGUCAGAAAGAGCUGUUCCUUUACUCUUGGAAUGAGUUUCUGAAAGCUUGCAGGUGACUGUAGAGCAGAAAUUCUGUUGAAGUGGGAGAUGUUAUAGGGCAUAUGCAUUUGGACCUAGUUAACUCAUCAUCUUUGUUCCAAUAUGAUUAUUUGCAUUGCAGGAGUUGGACUAGAUGACCUUAAGGGUCUCUUCCAACUCAAACAAUUCUAUGAUUUUCGUUGGGUCAUGGUUUUGGAUUUUCUUUUGAUGGAGUAAUUUACAAACAGCAGCCAUCACGCAGGAGCUAGUACCUCAUGACUCUACACAAGAGGACCAAUAAGCUAGAAGAAUAUUCCUCCAAGAAUUACUUUAAUUUUACUUAGUGGUUGACUUGUUGGAGGUGUGAUCGAUAGUUAACCAGAAAGAAUUUUGUAUGAAAAUGAGUAGGUAAAUAUUUGAGCUGUCCUUGAAAAGACUGCUUGAUGAGAUUAAUUUACUUUCAUUAGCUGACUUGGUAAAGAGAAUAUAUGCUCUCUCAUGCUAUUGACAGUGCACACAAAUGCACGGGUAUCUUCCCUGUGCUUCUCAGAGCCUGGAUCCUCUUUGCACAUCUGAAUGCAGAGGUGAAUUGUUGGCACUGUGCUGAUACAACAACAGAGAAGUAAAUGUUGUGAAGGCCUGCAAUGAGUUCACAUUGUCCGGCUGUCAAGCUAUGGGCAGCAGAACAGAUGAAGGGAUGCAAGAAUGAAAGGUACUAGCACAGGAGGUGUCCACUCCCUGUAGGAUUCUGGGAUGGGCUGUGGUAGGUAAGAUUUGAAAACAUUAAUUCUGUAUGGUCUUAAAUUAUCCUUGGAGAUGUGUAUUUGCCCUGCAAUGCUCAAAAUAUCUGCUGGGAAACCAAUAUCAAUUAGUAAGUUAUCGUGUUUCUUUGAGUGUUCCUCCUGCCAAAUCUGCGAAUUGAAGUCUCAAGAUAAAGUGACUCUUGAUAAAUAUCUGGAUUACAAAUGAAGAACUAAUGCAGAAUAUAGACAUCCUAAAACAGUCAGGGCUCCUUAUGAUAAUAUUAAUGUGUUUUCAAGCUUAGUCAAAUUAAACAUAGAACCGAUAUCUGAAUUAUGUUAAAUAGUAACUUAGCUAUAACUUCACUGACGCUCUCUUAAUUUCUAAUAAGAGUUGCAUUACAAAAAGCAGUUGCUGCAGAGCUUAGAGUAAUAGGACUGUUAUCAUCAGUUUCUAAAAUACCAGACAAAAAGAUUAAGCACAAUUGUUUAAAUUGUAUCCUUAUUUUGAUGAGCUUCUUUUUUUCUACAGAAAGGUAAAAGUAGGUUAUUUCUUCAGAUAAUAGAGCACCUACUAUGGAUUUUUCAGAGUGAAGCAACUCAUACUCAGUUUGAUUCCUGUGUCCUAACUCUUAAUGGCACUACUCAAGCAGCUGCUAAUUUUGAACAGGAUAUAAGAAUUGAGUACUUGAUGAAUUACCAGACAGUCAAACUAUCUAAAAGCAUUUCUUUUUAAGGCUAUCGUGGCAAAAGCAUGCACAAAUCACUAUUCCUUUAUUGUAUGGCUCUCCAGAAUGUAAAUCUUUUCCCUCUGCCUUUUAUCUUGAGUUACAUUUCACUGAACUAUACAGGGAAUUUUUGGGGGGUGGGUGGAUGUAAAUUAAUACAUUGCAUUUUCCUUCCACACGCAUUCUUCAUUGCCUUUAGGGAUUUCAUUUGACAAAGGCCUCGCUAAUGGAAAUGCAAAUUUUCUACCUGUCACAGAGUACUUUUGACUCUGCUGUUUGUCAGUGCAACACAUUCCUCAAAAGCCUGGUUACUUUGUCUUCUCCGAAGCCAGGGGAAUUGUGUCUGCGCCCACCAGGGCUCUGUUUGACCUAGCAGACGGUAAAGAACACAUUUAUGUAAAUUUGCAUGAGAAAUAUUGGCUUAUUCAGUUCUCUGCUAUAAAUAAAAAACCACAUGGAUUGAAAGCCUUAUUAAGCUUUGAUUUAUUAUGGCCAUUCAUUCAUUUCCUGCUUAGUAGUUUUGUUGCACUUUAAUAGACAGCAACUUCUUUCAUUUUCCAGUGAUACAUUAGUGUUUUUAGUUCUGAUAAUAUUCCGUCUCAUCUAAUCUUAUCUUUUGAGGGUAGUAGGAAACCAUACAUGUUAAAAUGGAGAAGAUUUGGACUAUGUGAUUUAGAUUAGAAAACUUCCUUUGUCUGCACAGUUCCGCUCUGGGCAGAGCAGACGGCCUCACUGAAUCUUUAGCAGGGGAACCAUGCAGUGCAAGUAUACAAACUCAGACUUCUGGGGCACUGAAUAGAGAAAUUAGACUUUUUCAUAUAAAAUCUGGAAAAAUAAAAUGCUUCAUAUUCCCAGCGAGAGGAAAAACUUUUCGCUUUUAUUUUUGAGGAUUUGUCCUCUUAUUACGACCUUCACCUCAGCAGCCCCAAGAGGGCUGUGCUUUGGGCAAAACAGUGAAGUGGAAACCUCACGGCUUUUAGGAAAGCUGUAAAAUUCCCAGUGAUGAGGGAUAUCCAGGAAUUUGUGUGCUGUAUGUUUAGUCCGGCAUGGCAGUACUAACAGAAUAUGUCUGAAUAGUUGUCAGCCAAGUUUGACAGCCUUCCCUUGUGAACUUUCUAGUCUAAGCAAUAUGUCCUGUUCUGUUUUCUAGCUCUUCUCCCCUUUAGAGCAAUGCUCUUGUGUAAUCACAUUGCUUUUAUUUAUCCUGCCUUCUAUUUUCUCAUUUAGUUUUGCCCAGUUCUUUUCUUUUCUGGAAGGCUCUGCUUAUUCCUGUGAAACCGUAGCGUUUCUUCACCUCCGUCGUCCUUGAGUGUUGCAUCCUGACCCACUCAUCCUUCUCUAGUGCCCUCUGCACGGCCUCUCUCACUCACUGUCUGGGCUCCUUCCCAGAGGGGAAGGACAGGCUUUCCUCCUCUGACACAGCUUGGCGCUGGGGUGAAGGAAGUAGAGGAACUCACGGCUGGUGCUAAUACCUCACCUCGGUAACUUCUGCGGCUGAUGUUUUCUGCAUUCAGAACACGUUGCUGUGGGGCCCUGUUAAAAAAGGAAAUGCCUGGUGUUUUUCCUGCCCAAAGCCAGGUAUUUCUUGCUGGCAUUGCCUAAAUUCCCGCUCCUGACUGUAAUAAAAAGAAUAAAGGAGCUGAAUGUCCAUCACAUGUGGAAGUAUCUUCUUGCUUGCACAAAUCUUAUGCUACAAGAGACAACAAAAGAUUUAACCACUUGCUUUUCUCACUUGAUGGUGAUCUUUGCAAGCGUGUUCUUCCCUCUGCACGAACCAGAGCAGACUGGCAGCAGCCACUGUUUCUAGACUGCUCUUUCUGCAAAGAGACAUUUCUUCUGAAAUGGAUGAUGCUUUCGGAGGCUGGAACUGCAACAAAGUAUUUACUUAGCCAUAGAGAUCAUAAUGUUCCAUGGUUUAUUUGAAUUAUUAAAAUGCAAUACUGCACGAUAAUCAUUAUUGCGCAGCUUCAGAACACUUACUGACAAUGUGGUCUUGGCAAAGUAAGCACUAGUCUUUUUAAUGGAUGGCUGUUGCAACAGAGGAGGGGAAACCUGUGUUUCAGACUAAACUGUGCUUUCCAAAGGAGCAAAAGGUAUCGAUUGUAAUAUCGAUUCCAUACGGAUUUUUAUUGUUGCUUUAUAUUUUUAAAAUAACUUCCCUCCCAUCCUCUCUUAACAGAUCAGAUGUCACUUCACUUUUCUUUCCUUGAAAUAACACUGGAAGCAGACUGUUGACAGCUUUGGGCUUCUGCACAGUCAGCAGUAUGGGGGAACAGUAUAGACAUGAGCAAAAGUCAAACGGUCUCUCUGGAGCUCCAACCCAUUAAAACAAUUGCUAAGGGCGCAGGAGCACAAUAAACAUCUGCGGUUUGUCUCCCCAGCAUACCGCAUGCCUUUCAGUUUCCCUCUGCUUGGAAAUGGACUUGAGUUGUCUGAUUGGACCCAGAUGUGAAGUCGCAGAGUCCAAGGCUUUUCAGAGCUUAGGUUUUGGUUCCAGGCUGAGGCUGGGAGGAAUUGUAAAGUUAGGUUCCAGAUCAGCACUUCCUCAGAUCUGAGACCGUUUUAACAGUCCUCUUAAUUUCUGGCUCUGCUCUGCUAGGAACUGCAUCUCUGUGAGCACGCCAAGCUGCAAGGCAGUCCCCAGUGCUCACUGGGACCAAAUGCUCCAGUGAAGGAAAUCAGCACCUUCACAAAUCACCCAGUGCUGACUGUCUUACUCAUGGGUCAGUAGCAGUGACUUCUUGCUUUAUUAGCUCGAUUUUAUGACAAAAUAUGUAUUCCUAUUUUAUUUUUAAGAGAGAUUGUACCAAGGUUGGUGUCAUUUAGGUUGCUAAAAUAUUUAGAAGGCAACAUCUUUUUAUGCAAAUACUUAUUUAGUCAUUGGACUACAGAAAACAAGAUCUUUCAGUUACAGAACUUUAGUGUCUCCAUGAUGACCAGCCAGCUGUCUAGAUGGGUUUAACAAAAAGAAAAAUGAACCAAAACUUUGUAGAGCUGAUUUGGUAGAAUCCAACACAGAUCUGUUGGAUUUAGGGAAAAAGACUUCUUUUUUUCCCUAACAAAUAUCACUUACUGGUAAUUCAGCCUGAAGGAUGAAAUGUACUUUAGAGGGUUAAGCAGAAAGGAAACAAUUGACUUGUUACUUUAAAUUAAUUUAAACUAUUUGAGCAGAAGAGAUGGGAACAAAGAUGUUGCAGUAACUUAAUAGCAUGGUAAAGGUAAAUCAUCCAGCGUUCAAUUUACUUGUAACUGUGUGCUUGUGCAUCGCGAUGGAGGGUGAACACAGUCUUGUUAGCAAUAAUGAUAUUACUCUUAAGUCUUUGCUUAAACACUUCAUAGAGGGGGAAAAGAGAGAUAAAUAACAUCCAAAAUAGAUUGGAAUAGCAAGCAACAGUUGUAACUGAGCGCCUCACUCUGCAUAUGCUUCUGUUCAAAAAGCACAAAGCGGAGAUGGUAGAAGGGAACACAAACCCUUUCCAAGUUGGCGCUGUGUUUCUUUAAUCAGUUAGAAGAUUAUUUCAAUGCAACACAAUCACAGGCUUAAUUUCCUGGACACUCACUUGCGUGCAAUGUGAUGGUGAGGGAGAACACACUAAGAGGUGAUGAGAAAGGCAAUAGGAGGAAUGCACUACAGCUGGUAGAUAACUUGCAUUUUAGAAAAGAAAGCAUGCUAUAAGAACAGUGCUGUAGCUGGGGAAGGAAUGAAUAAAUGGAUGCACGUAUUAUCUGUAUGGGGGGGAAUGGCCAAAAGGAAGAAAUGGAAUCAUGGGGGGUUUCUUCUAGGGAGAGUGGACAGGGCAUGGACAUUAGGGGUUGGGGAUGCUGCAACAGAGCGUGGCUGAAACAUGGAUAGCAGUCCUGGAUGAACAGUGUCACAAGAGGUGUUGUCCACAGGAGGCUUAAAUAACCUGAAUAGCAAAGCUGGGUGUCUGCCUGCUUUGAAGAUGCAUGCCAAGUGCUGCAGUUCUGCCAGGCAGAGCUUGUGUAUCUUUCUGGUCACAGACUGGAGAUGGUGCUGGAAAAGAAAUAGUGAAUAAUCCCAGAAGGAAACAGAGUAAGGGUAGAGAAAGCAAAGCAAUUUAACAUCAUUUUUAUUCUAGAAAGUGCUCUGCGUAGAUACUGUUUAAUUGCAGAUCUGAAUUCUGAUGAACUGUCAUCAGAAGAAAUAGAAAUAAUAGAAAUAAAGGAAAGAGAUCUUAGGACUAGUUCUGGGUGCCUGGUGCAGAGAGGAGAUGGGGCCUGUUCACACCUGAGUGGUGAGGGGUUGCGGGGGCCUUGGCAGCACAGUGGAGACGUGCUGAUGUGUGCAGGGAGGGGAAUGGCAGUGCUCUGGCAGGGCGAAGGCAGCAUGUGAGAAGGCUGACCCACAUGGGAUGAGUUACUGCCUGAUGGCUCCCAGCUGGGGUACUUGAGGAGACUGUGAUCUGACCUAAUCAGAUGCCUGGCACCUUCUAUCUCUGCCGUGUGCAGAAAGACGACCCUCUCUGCCAGCGACGCAGAGGAUCAGGAGUGAUGAGAAUGCCUUUUACAAACACAGUCUGGGCAGCAUGUGUAAUUCUUUUUGUUGGCUCUCAGUGGCAUUACCUUGAAUAUGAGGAAAUUAAGGAGAAAAAUUGCUAUGAGCUUUGUAGGCCCUUUAUCGCUUUAAUCUCUUCUUCUCUCUGCUUUCUCUUUUCCUGUCUCUUGUCAUCCAUCUUUGUAGAGACAGUGACCAAGUUAAUCUAAACAACAAUUCAGAUUUGUUAGCAAUUGAUUUGAUUUCUGCUUUCAGAAACUGUUUGAAAUCAUCUAAAUGCAUUAUUUCAAGCAGGACUAAGUUUUCGAUGCAAUUUCUGAAGCAGCCAGAGCAAGAAUUCAACAGAUCUAUGGGUCCUAAGGAAGAGAAAAAAAAAAUACCUUGAAUGUCUAUGGGAUGGAAAAGUAGGCUAUAAUUUCUGAGAUCCCUUUUAGAAGGACACAAGAGAAGGGCAAGAAAGAUGACAGCCUGGAGCACGUGACCUUACAGAAAUUUGGCGUGGGGUUUGUUAUGGCUUGGUAUUGUAAAAGGCUCUACAGAUACUGGCUGAGCCUACUGGAUGGUUAGUGCAGAGCCUGCAAGGGCUGUUUGUGUUAAGUUGUAUUGAUUGCUUCGUGUAUAAUUUAAUAAAGUUGAAGCCUGCUUGCUUUCUUUGUAGCUAUACGCUGCAUCUGUCCUUGUUGGAGUGUUCCCAUGGCAAUCGUGGGCUGGAUUUUUAUUAGUUUGAUUUACUCGAUAAAUAAAUAGAAAAAUAAAACAAGAUAAUUACCCAACAAUGAAUAGCUAUCAUAUGAACAAAGUGAAAACUACACCAAAGACCACUGGCAAUAGGUGACACUUCUAAUUUAGAAGUAAUGCAGAGGUUUCCAGCAUAAUUUUUCCGACCUUCAUUGGCCCUUCCUUCAUUAGGUGUCAGACCCUGUUGCUUAUACGAGUUUCACUGCAUACAAAAAUGUCUUUCCUGGCUUCUCACAUUCAUAGCGUUGUUAUUGUUUUUUUAAGUAGUGGCUGUAGUUUUGUGCUCUCCUACUACUUCAUCUGAACAGUUACCCUUGCAGGGAAGAAACCUCCCUCCUCUUUCCCCUGAGGAGUGGAAGGAAAGCCUGUGCUAAUAAAGCAAACAUCUCUGCUUCACCUGAAGUUUGCUCUCCUAACAGACUGUUCCAUGAACACACGGGCAGGCUGCUAACAGUGCCCAAACCACUCAGAAAGCUGCAUUGCCAGAAGAUACAGAGAGCUGAUUAGGAUACUGAUAGCCUCGGGGCAGUUGGAAACACAACAAAAGCUUUUGGAAGGAGUACUAUGGCACAGGUUCUCAUGGAAGUGUGUUAUGCCCUGUCCCCGGAGGUGUUCAAGGCCAGGUUGGAUGGGGCCCUGGGCAACCUGGUCUAGUAAAUGGGGAGGUUGGUGACCCUGCCUGGCAGGGGGGUUAGAGAUUCAUGAUCCUUGAGGUCCCUUCCAACCCAGGCCAUUUUGUGAUUCUGUGCUUCUGAUUCUGUGAGGGAGGACUAGGCAGGAAGAACUUGAUAGUAAGCUUGAAAGGACUCAUAUAUGAUACUUAAUAUUUAGAAGCAUAGGUCACUUCUUUUACGAUGUGUUUGAAGCAGUUUUCAGCACGCAGUUUAUAAAUGAUGGGAGACUGGGCCUCUGCUAUAGCAGAACAGCAUUUGGCUCAGCUCAGAAUGGGAGAGCUGUAAAUGUGGCAGUGCAUUCAGUGCUGACAAUAAAAUUUGACAUGGGCUUCCUCAAGUACUCGCUUUAAGGUCUGAGAGCCCCUGACAGCUCCCCAUUGCCCAGAUCACUCCAACAACCAGUGGAAAACUAGAGGAUCUUUGUUGUGACUUUUGAUACCCUUGGGACAGGAGGUACAGAGCAGAAGUGACUGUUUCUGAGUGGAGUCGGUCCCUGCUGGCUGCAGGGUACUUGUGUUUCAGUCAGGGACCAUUUAAAAUCCUGAACUUCCGUCAGCUUUCGUAUAAACCAACAGGACAAGAAAAAUAUUUCUCCUGAAUGUUCAAGGCACUACUAAUCAGAACCUGCUAUGCAGGAUGCACCCAGUGGUGUUCAAGCAGCAUACUAAGCUAUGCUUUUAAUCAGAAGUAGAUAGUUAUCCCUUUGAAGAUCUCUUUCUUUCUUUUUUUUUUUUUCCUCCAGAGGGUCUCAUACAAGUGCAAAACUUUGUAGGAGCAUCUGCUGAAUGGCUUAAGACAUGCCUAAGUAUGGAAAGCAUCUAAACUGAUGUUUGGAAACUGCCUUGAAAGCUCACUGAAAGGCAGCUAUAAUACAACCUCAUGUUUGUGGCUCUUACAGGGAAUCGUAGAUCCUGUCUCAAAUCUUAUUUGUUUGAGAGUUACAUCAGCUCUUAAAUCUUCCACUGCUGUUAGUGGGUAUGUUUUUAAAAUCAGUUCUCAAAUGUCAGCUCCUUUGUGAAGAAAGAUUCCCAUGAUGGCAGCCUGUUCCCACCAUUAGAACCAUAGAAACUGGAAGGCCUGGGGUCUGUUUCUUGACUCUGCUUUUGGCCUGCUGUUGCUUGCAACUCUUAUAAUCUCUCUGUAAAAUGGGGAUAAAGCUUGACUUCUUUUGUAAAAUGUUAUGAGUGCUUCAAAGCCAGAUGUUUCAAAAGAACUAAGUUUUAUUAAGAAGCUCGGCUGUUCUCACCUGCUUCUCUCCCCUGCAGUGUGAAAUAUUGCAAGACCUGUGGCCUUGGAAAGUACGUAGACUCUCUCAUGAGCCUAUCAUUGCAGCUUCUGGGGCCAGCCUGCCUGGCAGGAGCUGUGAACAGUGGGCUAGUAAUUGUAUAAUUUCACGGUAGGAAACUUCCCCCUACUGCCUAGGGUAAUAGCUUAGACAAAUACUGUUCUAGAGUUACUAACAGCCCAAAUAAGUUUAGGAAGGGCACAGCGAUCAGUUUCAUCAUGGCUUUCCCCAAUAGGAUUGUGAGAAUCUGUCCUAAAAUAAAUGGGAAGAAAGGUCUCAGGUGUUUCUUCUUAGUCUGGGCAAGUAGUAAGUGCUCUAUCUGGCAUGCAGAUCAUCAGGAAACCAUUAGCAAGAUUUGUUUGCUGGUCUUGUGAGCAUGUGGUGCAUAGGUCUUCUCAGCCAUUUGCAAAAUGCUUGGGAAAAGCUUGGUGGCUUGGAUAUGCUUAUCUGCUUAUCUCCCACUUAGGAGGCUUGUAAAUGACAAGCAGAAGUUUGUAGUCUUGCUGAGAAGGUGGGACAGCCCCUUACAAGUCACAGAGCCCUGCUGCUCUCUGGCUUGUGCAGAUAUGCUAGGGAGAGAAAACAGUGUGCAAGGGGCAGAUGGAGAGGAUGUCCUGUGUGGUUUGUCUGCUUGCACAGUCAGGCCUUCUUCCCUGCACUAGUCCUUGUGAUAUUGCCUGCUUUGUGCCACACUGAGGAACUGAGGCUUUCUUUCCGGCCACUUUCCUUGCUAGCCAUGAAGGAAGCUUUAUUUUAUUUAGCUAACAUUCUCUUCUUUAGCUGGUACUUUUAAAAUAUAUUUAUUUGUUUUCAGCCUUUCUUUUUGUCUCCUAAUCAGGGCUGUUCCCCACUGUGCUGAGGCUGCCUGCAUCAAUGUUUCUGGGAGCCUGGCUGCUUUUGUACUUUACCUGUGCCCGGGCAUUGGAUAUAUACCACAGCAUCAACUUGAGUAUUUAUUUUUGCUCUUCCUGAGCAAAUCCCUUUGGAGUUCUUAAGCCUGCAGUGUGAUGCUCAGAAACUGUUUCCCCAGGAAGCGAUGUUAAGAGUCACUUUGAGCAGAGCAUAAAGCUGGGUGGCCUUCUGCAUCCUCCAGGUCCCUUUACGUGCCAGGGGCUCCUGGUUUGGAAGACAGUACAAAGCCUAGGUUACACUGUUUGGUCCAUCCUCUGUACUGUCUCCAUCGUUCCUUCCUGUUAGGAAAACGUUUGUGCUACAGAUUGCAUAAACACCUUAGUAGUGAAGGUAUUGAGUUGGGAUAUACUCAAAUGUGAAUCACUAGGCUGUUCACAUAAACUGGUAAGCAGUGGGAGAUUUAAAAAAAAAAUAAAUCUGCAUCUUGUAGUAAAAACUUCUAACCCUACAACACAAUCCAGGAAUCUGAGUGGAGAGCAUGUCAAAUUCUAAUUGGUCUUAUCAAUUUUGUACGGUAUAAAUAUUUUGACAGAUAGAACAGUUUUGAUCAAAGGUUGUAUAAAUCCAUUCAGUCUCAGCAGCUGAACCAGUGUGAACCCUCUACUGGGGCCUCUGUCACCUGAAUUCCUAUGCUACAGUUAAAACCUACACCUUCUAUAUGUAGGUGUACUUUUAUUUGAGCUCCUGUGGCUGUGUGUUUUGGUGGGCUGAGGCAUGGUGUGAUCUGAUGUAAAGCGUGGGCUGCAAAACCCGGGCUCACCAGCAUUCCUUAACUAUGGGUUGUCAGAUCUACAUCUCCCCGUGUUUGUCAGCUAGUGACACAUCUGUAGCAUUUUGGCUGAAUGUUCCUUGUUUGCUCUGACUGAGAAAUAAAUAGAACUUUGAAAAACAAAUGGCGCUGCUUUAUUGAGCUGCGGUGAUUUAUGCACAUGUCAAUGGGAGUGAGGAAAAGCAAAUCUCUUCUGCUUGCAGAUAUUUUAGGUUUCUGUUUAAUAACAGCCUAGGCCAACUGCUUUGAGGGCACUAUUCUGUUUCUUGGGUUGUUGAAAGCACUUGGCCUUGUGCCUCGCAACACCACAUGGGGUAUGUCUUAAUAGAUCUGAAAGGUAUGGCAUGCUGUGACUUGAUUUUAUUUACAUUUAUGUAAAUAUUGCCAUGUUUAUUUUAAAAUGACUGAACUUCUGCAGUUGCAGCUCCAGGGUGGUAAAGGUCGCUGAAAGGACAGUUAGGUUCCUAUUGUCUCAAUCUGGAAGACUUCACUUAAAAUCAUGCGGUUUGUUAUUUCUCACUUUGCUGAGCUCAUCCAGUGAAAUUGCUCUGUUGUAUUUCCUGCUUUUUUCUGACUCUAGUUGGCUUUCCCGUGGCAGAAUGACAGCUAACAGAGCUCUGGAUAAUAUGGGGAAAAAAAUGUGAUUCUAAGGAAAAAAUUAAACUUUGCAGUGUGUUUUCUUUUAUUUAACUGCAACUCCUCAAGCUCAUAACUGACUGUGUUGGAUGCCUGUGUCUGUAACAUCAGAGCUUCGUCUAGAAAGGACAACUUAAGUAGUCAGAAAAGGGAACUUUGAGGCACUACAGGUGUAAUGAGAUAAGUCAGUUUCUGGCUUAUUGUGUAGUGCUGGUCAGGAAUUUUCUGUCAAAAUGUUUUUCUUCUCUCAUCAGGAUCCACAGAUUUGACAGCUGUUAGUGGAAAUGUACCUAUCAGUUUUGGCAGGCAAGCCUUCUCACGCAGGAGACAGAAUCUCUGGAGAGGUGCAGCCGACUGCCUGAGGAGCAUCCCACUCGCCCUGGUGCAGCUGGCAGCCCUCCCUGGGUCCUUGGGGACUUCUGCCAGUGCUCCACCAACCUGGAGACCUGAACUUCCAUUCCUGGUAGCUCAGAUGGGUAGAGCUCCUGGCUGCUAUUGAUGUGGUGUCUCCAUCUCCAGGUAUAACUAUUUUGUGUUCAGCUAAGAGAUUAAAUAUUUAUUGGGCUGGAGAGGGUGCAGGUAACAGAAGUUGUUAGAGGACGACCACUUAAACUGAUACUGGUCAGUGAGGUCCUGUCUUUUUCUCUCCUUUGCAUGAAACCUGGCUGCCUGUUCCCAUCUUCCCAUCUUCCCACUUGGGAAACAGUCAUGCUGAUCUCACGCUACCUGCAGGCAUGGCAGAGAACCAGGCUCCAUGGGGAAUGAAUCUUGGAGAGAAGAACAAGCUUACUUCUCUGUGUAUUUAGGUCCUCCGAGUGGCUCACAACAGGACCAGUUGUAAAUAAGUGCUGGUACAUAUGAUAGGAGUCUUUGGCUGGAAAGAGAUGGAAGAAAGGCAUAUGAUUAUGCCUUUGGCUAGCAGCAGGCCAUUAGAAAGAUCUAGCUACAGCACCUCUACAUCCCUUACUUGGGAUGCGUAUGGCUGUACUUGUGUAUUCAACCAGUCUUAGAGGGAUGCUUACGUAUAUACGUUGUUGCCAGUUAUCAGGUUGGCAGGUGUACUGAAAACAUAAAACCUGGAGGCUCAGACUCCUGACUGUAGACGCAUACAGCCUGGCUGUGUGCCCUGAUUAAUAGACAAGUGGCUACUUUGGGUUGUCUCACUCUCUCCUUGUGAUUUCCCCCACUGGAAGACUGUAAAGAUCUCCAGAUUUCAUCCAGGUAUGGAAUAAUGAGAUUCACCCUCAAAAUGCCACAUACCUACCUCUAUAUAACCUUCUCUUCUGCAGCCCUCUUAUUAUUGUUCUGCUGCUCUCUAAAACUAAGCCACAAGAGCAGACUUCGCAAAUGGCUUUAGACUUGUUUCCCCAGAGGUUUCAGUGUAGUGCAGCUGACCUUGCCCUGAGCCAGCAGAGCCUAUUCAUCAGGACUGUGCCCAGCGUCUCAUCUGCAUUGUGUCCUGUCCCCCACCAGCUGCUAUGAGCUGAAGUCUGUAUCCACUAGUGCACAAGGAGUUGAGUGGGUUUAAUUCUAUUGCAUAAGGCUGGCUGGCACUGCCAUUUAAAAUAUGUCCUUUUUAAAAGAUAGUUAAGUGAGAUUUUUCUAUAGUCUAUGUGUGAGGGUGAGAGCCUUUUGGCUUCCAGGCACAGGAUGCAGAGAGAUGCUUAGGAAGGUAGCAGGUAUUUUGACUGGUUCAUUGCUAAUUAUUGCUUCAGUAAACAACAGCUGUUCAGAUGCAGCUCAGCUUCUUGCUUUGAAAAGAUUACAGUGCCCAAACUGUAGUCUCAUAUUAUUGAAAAAAGAAAAAAAAAAUGUUAUAAUCAUUUCACUCCCCUACUGCUACAGAUUUUAUGGGCCUUGUAGUGCGCUGUUAUGUCAGGCAUAUUAAUUGCUAGUGAGUUGAUGUUAAGCAAAUGGAACAGCUUUGUGCAGCGUUUGGACACUCGGUUAUAGACAGUUUAACAGCAGUCUUCUGGAGAGGCUCUGCAUUAGUCUUAGAUUAUUUCUCAGCACUAGAGGAAUGGCUCUUUCAAAGUAACUAUAAAAUGAACCGUUGCUGCCAUGCAAUCGCAGUAAUAAGCUGUUAAGGUACCUUGCGAAGCAUGAGGUCAGAGGCAGUGUGUUCUUCCAGCCACCCAAGAAGCGUAAUAGCAACUAAUUAGCACAGCUCCUUCAGAGGCUAUUGCUAUUGUAACAGGAGGAAAGAAAUGCAAGAAAUUCCACACAGGAUAGGGGGAGGCUACUGUUGCUAUCUGCCCUUUAGAUGACGGAGUUGUUGGUAUUAACUUAGCCGAGGGUGAAGGCCUGACCUAGCGCAGCGCUGAGUGUCACUGAUGUGCUCUUGCCACUGAAAAGAAAAAUGGCCCUGUUCCCUGCUCCAUGCAGCUUCUGCCCUUCUGUUUUCUUCCCGAGGAGCAGGAUUUAUAGGGGCAUUCGAUUUGAUUUAUGGAGGAGUGAAAUCACAAAUUAACCGCCCAGGCACACGCUUUGCAGCACAACGCCACACAGCCCUUCCUCUCCUCCUUCCCCGCCGAGCUGCCGUUACCCCACAGCAGCUGGCUGGGCAGUCGGCCUGGUGUUUGAGUUUGCCGCUGCGGUGCCCAGCCAGCCCGGGUGCCAGGCACCACGGUGGCUUCAUGCAGGGCCAUCCCCCUCCAGCUUACACCCAGAGAGGCAGCCGGAGCUCUGCUCUGAAUCUGAAGCAGUUGAUCUAGUGAUUUCUUUUAUUAAUUAAUUUAUUCAAUGUCGUGGUAUCUUAAGGUUGUGGUUCUUUGCCAUUUCAUUUCAUUUUACGGAUCUGUUUUCUCGAGAACCCCGUCUCGGCGAGCUGGGGGCCGUGCCGUCCUCCCCGAGCCGCUAAAAUGGCGGCCAAGGCGCUCCGCGCCGCCCCGCGGGCCGCUCUCCCCCUUCCCGCCAGGGGGCACGCGAGCCACGGCCGCGCCGCGCUGAGGGGAGACAGGCCGGGCCGCCCGCUGAGCCGCUGCCACCGCUGCUGCGGUCCGGAGCUCAGGCACCGCGUCAGGGCCGUGCACCCGGACGAGGAGCAACACGCUCGGGGCUUGGAGCGCCCUUUAAUCUUUCCUCUCUUACAGUAGGAGCUCCAGUGCGAAGUGAGGAAGGAGCCAGGACACCGCCUCUGGAUACCUUGGAGACACAAACAGGUGGAUUGGAAGUACUGGCUCCUGCUCUGUUCAUGAAAAGAAUGUAAUGGAAAGAAUAUGUGUAAAGGAUAAUGCUGCUGAGCUGAACCUCGUGCCAGUAUUUGUGUGACUGUGUGAUACUGUGGGACUUCACUCUCACUGCUGCAUUUCAGACCAGGUAUCUUCAGGGCUCUGAAUGAAAAUCUCAUAGAUGGGUAAAGCUCACUUCCUGCAGAAUGUUUCAAAAUACUAAGCUUCCUUCAAGAAUGAAUUGGCAGAUUCACUCUAUCACCUUGCUAUGUAAUGAAAUGACUAUGAACCAGAACCAUAAGGAUGAGUUUCAUAAGCAUGGAUUCCUUUUCUGCUCUUCCCGCUACCAUAUCUAGGUACAAGUAUGUUGCUCUUAAGCAGCAGCUGUUGUAUCUAAUCAUUCUUCCUUCUUGGAGAAAAAUCAAUUAUUCUUGCAGGGCAAGUAGUAGAAAUGUAAGAUGCAUGACAGCAUUCUCCCCUUCCCAAAGGAAAAUAGAAAUUUUUUAAAUUUAAAAGUAGCACAUUACUAUCUUAGAAGUCAAGUGGUUUGAAAUUAUUUACCUUUAUCUGAUAUACUGCUUAGGCCUUAUUUUAAACAAUUGAGUUCAGUCUUAAUAUGUCAGACCUCCAAUAUAUUCUUGAAAUGGUUUCCUGGCAACUCUAUUUUAAAUGCUUAAUCUAUGUUGUCUUUACCAAAUGGCUGUCAUAAAUCAGUUUGCUUCCUACUUACAUUUCACUCACUAUAUAGGAAGAAGAAAUGCCAACAAAAUGGUAAAGACAUAUGUUAGCGGAAUAUGCCAUACACAGUCAUGCAGUUGAACUCUCUCUACCAGGAAUAAGUAUUAGUACAACUUUUAUUAAAAAUUGAAAAGAAAGAAAACUCUAGGCCCAUGCUGGCUUAUGGCACAAUAAUUUAAAACAAUUUAAAAUCAGGUCUGUGAGUUCAGUGCUGGAAAUAAAAAGUAAAGACAAACCUAAAAAUCAUCUUUUUAUCCUUAUUCAUUUCGAGGCAUUGCAGGCUAAAGCCAGUGUAGAUUUUACAGAAAUAGUAACAAGAAACAGUAAUAAGGAAGAAGACACAAAGUAAUAAAAGCAACAACUUACAGAUCUACAGUAAGCUUACCUAUGGUAAAUGUUCUGUGGCAGUUGGAUGGCAAUAUCUACAAGAAUGUGUUUAUCUUUCACUAAGUGAGAAUGCAGUAGACACCACCCAUGCCUGCUUGCAUGCUUACCCUAAGCUUUCGGCCAAAUACGUUGACUUUUCCCUGGGCUUGCUCCUUCCGAAAUCGCCACUCCACCAGGUUCUGCCCAUUCUCCCCUGGCAGAGUCAUGUUUCUCUUUGCCACUGUUGGAUUGGCAGUGCCAGCCAAGACAUGCGGCUCUGUCUGAUAGUGAGAAUCCAGGCCACUGGCAUACAGGAUUCUAAGCGAGCCAUCAUAACCAAUCUGGUAGCUGUUUCUUAACUGAUCUGAAAAUGCAAAAAAAAAAAAAAAGAAAAACAAAAACAAACAAAAAAACAAACAGAAACACACAUUACAUAUGAGAGUUAAGUAUUUCUCUGUCCUGCAUUCCUUAUACAUUGUAUGCAUGUAACAUCUUUACCUACUAACACACUGGAAAUAAAACCCGAGGGUGAGAGAGAUGACAACAUCUGUAUCACAUACACAUGUAUCACAGGAGAACACAAAUGCCUGUGGGACAUACGUUCAAAUUCACUUAAACACUUAAGAAGAAUCCCACCUCUAGUGUAUGGCACAAAAUGUAUUCUCUGCUGCUUCCUUAGACAUUUUUGGCCUCAUCCUGUGCCUGCUGAGAUUACUGACUUCUGCUAGGAUGUGGCUGCUGGAAUCUCAUGUACUAUUUUAAAGCCCAAAUCUCACUUAAGUUAUUUGGUUAGGAAACAUUUAAUUACACUUUUAUUGUACCUCCUUCCUUCUCUGAACAGAUCUUUUCAUGUAUCACCUCCUCCUCCAAACAUUAGGCCUCUAAAGCUUCUGAUUUGAGCUGCUUGUACUACAAGAAAGCAUGUUUCAGGUCAGUAUCUGAGAAACCCUUUGUAUACAGUACCUUGAACCAUGGUGUAGAAAGAAUCAAUUGAUGAUAAGUUGGAAGUGAUGCUGACAUCUUCCUCUCUGCUGGAUGAUUCGAUGUCCACUGUAAUGGCCCUUUCCAUUUCCCCAUGAAGAUUAGUGACAACUCCAGUUGGGAACGUAACAUUUGUCAGACGGCCCUCACUAUCAUAGCUUAAAAAAAAACCAAAACUUCUUAAGUGAUACAUGGCAGGAACAAAUUGUUUUCAUUUACAAGUAAGAUGAAUCAAAAUACCAGCUACUCAAUAUCGUUAAGGCAUGUUUACUUUUUGUGCACGGCAUAGGCAUAGCAAAGCCUUCAAGCAUGCUUUGAAGUAGUCAAAAGACUUUAACAUACAGGAGUCUCAGUAGUGAUGGCGAGAGCAAACAGAUGGAUCCUCAGCUCCACAUAUUAUUCUUUGAAGUGUGACCAGAUCCUGCUGCACAACAGACACACCAUUUCAAAGGGAGCGUAUUACUUAGUGCUAAAUUCUGUAUCAUUCUGUACUCACUCCCUGAGACCAGAAUAGAUUUUUACUGUUAUUGUAGGAAUCCUCAGAAGUGUUCAUAAAAAGGAUAUUUUAACAGACUUUUCCUUUGGCCCUUCCUAUACACUCAUUAUGCAGAGCACUUGCCCUCCCAUUCCUGAGCACUUAACAUCCCUUGUAUUAUUCAGAGAAAGGAUCUUGGGUAAUAUUUAUUCUACUUACUUAAGCUAUUUGUAUCUGGAAAUCACAUCUUACGUAACUCGUUAGCUUCCUGUGGAUUGUACCUUGAGAAUUGUGGCACAAGCCAUGCAGGAGAUGCUUUUUCUGUCUUCACUGACAUUUCUUUAAACUAAUAGCUAUAUAGCCAUUUAUGUAUGAAGAGGUAGAUACUAUGUCUGUUACUGAAAUAGACUUAGGAUUUCUAAAACAUAUCUUUUCCUGUGCUGUGUUUGUUAGCUAUCCUCCAGCUAUUAAUACCACAGAUAAGAUAUGCACAGCUCUGUGUAUGCGAAAAACAAGACAAAGGAAGUGAUCCCAUCAGAAGUACAGAACUAUCUGAGAUUCAAGUAAGCACUCAGUGUACAAUGGCAUACUUCCAUCAGGUUUUUCAAACACAAGACCAAGAGCAUGCUCAAACCCACUGUAGUCUUAGAAUACAGAGGUGAGGCAUUGUGUAAGCUUCAGGUGACAAAACUGCCUUUGAGAUUAGUUCUUCCAGUAUGACAGCCUAGAUUCAUCAGAUUAGGUGUUGUACUGAGGCUCCCAGUUCACAAGUAUAGUCUCUCUGUAUCUGCAACAGAGAGAAACAUCUAAAGGGUGAUUUGGCCCACCUAAGACCUAUUUGCUGUCAGUAGCUGCCCGUCCAUACCACAGCUAAGUAGGAAGAAGCUUUAGUCUCUCAAAAUCCCUAUAACACGACCCUGCAGAUCCACAAAGUGUGCUAGAAACUUCAUACUUAAAAUUAUUAUCAAAAUUGCUCCCUUUGAAAGAGGAACCCCUCAAAAAACAAAAACAACAACAACAAAAAAAAAACACCCAAAUUCCAACCAUAUCACUGAGGCUACAGAAACUCAUUUUUAAAUUGAGAGAAUUAAUUCCAAAUGGCUUUAACCCACAAUACGCUUACUUUCUCUGAACAUCAUGAGUACUGCACGAAUUGCUGUAACUGAAAGGAUUAGGUUAAGAAAUGGUUUUUUUUUUUCCAGUUUGCUUACUCUAUAGAUGACAGCUUUUUUGCACACAGUCAUUUUCAUCCUUUUAACACAGUUGAUUUCCUUUGUUUAUGAGAGACUUUCACUUAGCAACAGGAAAAAGAAAAGAAUGUUUGAAAAUCAGAAACCCUUCUGCAAGCCAGGGAAAUCAAGUGGGAAAACUUGUUUCUUGAAGUGAAGUAUAUUUCAAGAUAAAAGUUUUUUUUUUUUUUUUUUUUUUUCCCCUAUCCCUAAUUUUGGCUCUCUUUCACGUACAAGACUUGGCAACCCGAGAUACUGCAUUUAUACAAGAAACUGAAACAAACAUACCAACAUUCCUUGAGCAUAAAUUUGACUGCAAGCCCAUUAAUGACCUUUGGUUCCAUAAAUUUAUUUUCUUUUCAUACACAACUUCCCUCUUUAGCUCCCAGGGAAACAUACAUUCUCCAAUUAGCAUCCUUUUCUAUUUUCCACUUUACAGAGGAAUACUUGAAAACAGUACCAAGUUAUCUUGUUGGGAACUACUUGCAUCUUUUGAUUACAGAAGCCAAGUGCUAGUUUUCGUUCUGAACAAUGCUUCCUAAAGCCAUAAAAGAUCCUGAACUGGUCUUCUUUCAUAAAUACAUGAAGCCGUAUCACGAGCCUCAGAUAAGCAGCUAAUAUUAUUGCAGAGGGGGAGAGUUCAAAGACCAACAAAAAUUCAUGCUACUCAUUCAUGUUCUUAAAAACACGACCUGGAAGUGGAAAGAAUCUUAACAGUUAUGACUGCUUGGUCCAGGCAUCCUAGUGCAGGAAAAAAACGUGAAUGAGAUGUGGAAGUUCAUCACAGGCCUGGAAGUCUCCUGUCCUUCCCUGUUUAAACACUGGGUGCAACAACUUACUGGGAGCUCUGUUCAAUCGUCUUUAACCAUCACGUGGGCUGUCAGAAGAGAGGAGAAGACCCUUAACUUCAACAUUAUAACAUAAUUUUUCCCCUUCGCUCCAUUUCUGAGUUGCUUUCCCAAUUCUGAUAUGCAUUUUUGCUUUUUAUUUAUCCGAAGAGUGACUGAAUAAUCCUGCUAAGAAUGAGCAAAUUGAAAAUAAUCUACACAUGCAUGGAUAAACAAACAACUUCGUCUUUUUUUUUAAUCUAUAGUCUUAUUGAUAUACAUACAUCAGUGGAUCCACAACUACUCAUUUAUAACCCACCUUCUUAAAAAUAACAUUAAUUGAAGUACCAUAUGCACAUAUUCCUUUACUUAGACAGUGUGUAUUUAACCUUAAAAGGUUUAACACCUUACUUGUUAACUCACAGUAUAAAUGUAUCAGGUAACCCAAAAUAUUAAACUAUAACCUACUCUUAAGUAAGUAUUAGCUAGACUUUUUUUUUCCAAUGGAACCAUAAACAAUUGGAUAGCUGUAUGUUUUUCUAACAUUCCUUUUUUUUUUUUUCUUUUUCCCUAGCAAGAAGGGAACAAAUGUGUCACAAAUGACAAUUUGAUGCGUGCUAGUAGGCUUGUCAGUUAUGACAAGUAGCUUGAUUUUUUAAAAACUAUUGUCUAAUACUGGUAGCAUUUUUCCUUUGUUCUUACUUGGAAAGUUGUUAAGCACAAGAAAAAAAAAAUCAGUAUUCUUACCAAUUUUACAAAACUGUAAGUAUGUGAAAAACAUCCUCUUUUAUCUUGCCUCUCUACCCCUCCUUUCCUCUCACCUUCCCCUCUCAACCUUCUCCGUAUCCCAUCUCCAGCUCCAUCUCACUCCUCCUGUGCUUAUCUCAAACAAAAUAUAGCUAAAUAAAAAUCACAGAAAAUAGGUCUUGGAGUGGUGCUCUGAAGGACCUAAAGUAAAAUGCAGCCUGAAAUCCAACUCUGGAUAGAAAUUUUCUGUUACAGCUUGGUUUUAAGAUGGAAUUUGGACAGAAAAUACAAACUCAUAACAUACAGAGGCUGGAAAGGCACUAAAAGUCUGUUAAGUAUCAGCUAAAUUUCUUUGUCCUCUCUGUAUCAACCAAGUGUCAGAAAAUUCAAACCUGAAUUUGAGCAGAUGGUCACCUUCUCCUGUCCCUUUAUCUCAUUGCUGCCUCCCGCUGAGAAGGGGUCUUCAUCCCGAUUUCAUUUGGGAUAGUCUGAUCCAACUGUUUGUUACAUAAUUCAGGUGAUGGUCUUUUAUCUUAGCAAGCUGGUCAUGAUGAGUGUUUCAUCCCAUGUUUAAUGAAGAAAUUUCCUGAGCUUAAAAGUGAUUGGCAAUUUUUCUUUUCACCUUCUCCCAUAAUUACUGCAAGUUUUGAGGCUUUUUUGCGUGUGCCUAUUUUGUCAUAACUUUAAAAUUUUCAGUCACUUCUGUAAACAAGCAUUCAGUAUACUAGACAUGCAAAGAAUUCACCUAAAUAGGCCAUUCUUGACAGCUGUAAGUCAUCUGCAAAACAACAGGCACACUCUAAAACCACAAUCACUGCAGAAAAUGUGUCUAUUGCAAAUGAGCUCCAAGCAAAGAACCAACACCUUCCCCCCACAGCUCGCUCCCCUCCAUGUCAAGAUGCUCAUUUUCCACUUCAUCACACAACAAUGAGAACAAGCAUGAGUUCCCAUGCAGUUCCCUAGGACCAACCACUUGGACAGCCUAAUCCAAAAUGACUUCCAGACGGGCGUUUUGGGGGAACAGUGUUUUGCAGUGAAUGAAGCAAUACGUGAGUUUAUCAUGACUUUAUCUUUACUUUCUGCCAGAUGAAUGCCAGACCUUUUUACUCAGAACUUGCAUGAGGCUAUGUGGUGUUGCAGUCUUCUAACACUGCACUGUUUGCUGUGAUAAACAUCUGCCAUUUAUAUUCUUGUAAGGACUCCCAUCUUGUUUCUGACACAACCCUCACACGCACAAAAGGCUGGAUAAAUAGGUUGUGUGAGGGCUGCUGGCACUCUAAGCAGCAGGCAGAACGACUGGUGUAUGCUCAAGGGGUAGGGGUGCACUGGGAGCAGCUGGGCACAGGUGGUGUGGCUGAACAUAGAGGCAUUACCUGGGGACAGAGCAGCUUCCCAAGGAUGUGGUUGCUCCUCAGACGCUUUUGAACACUUCUGACAUUUUUGAACGGAGUGCAGCUGGUUCAAGGUCAGUAUUAUCGGGAUUGUUUGUAUGAGGAUGAGACUACAUUACAACAGGCAGGCAGCCACAGACCCACAGCCAGGCUUUCAUCUACAAGACCUCAACCCUCAGCCCUCGCCUUUCCACUUCCCUCUACUGGGAACUCACCCCCCAAAGCCUGCAGGAUCUGGGCUCACGUUUUUGCCGAGUGUGCGGGGUGAGCACCCACCCUUCAGCAGCUCCCUGUGCAUGGCAGCUUUGAUCUCAGAGCUCCCUGAGGCUGCUUCCUCCCCUCUUCCCUACACCAUCUAUCACCAAACAGAUAAACAGUGUGCCCUGCUGAUAUAAAUACCGGAAUAUAGCCUGUCAAACAGAAGAAAUGUUGGUGUGUAUGCACAUUGUAUGACAGAUUGGCCCUUGCUCUAAGGUCUGCUUACAGUAUCAGAGCUGAGGUCUUCCAUGCAAAAAGAGGCAGGUCUCCUCAGUCAGACAUUUUGUUUACAAAUAAGUUAUAUGGCUGCUUUUUUCCUCCUCUUUUACAGUAAAAAUUAUCAGUAUUUUUACAGAGUCGCAAUGACCAACUUGGACAUAAUGAACUUAAUAAGUUACAUCAUGUUUGAGUAUUUAGCAAAAGGAAAUCAAAAUUAUACAGAUAUGCCUUUUUUUUUUAGAACAGCAAAAUGCCUAGAUAGUAAAAAAUACUGCUAGAUGCAGGUUCUGUGCUUAAUUUUGAAUAGCAGUCCAGUUCCUUGGGUGUAUGAGUCAGACCCUUCCUGUGCAAGAUUCAGAAGUGACAGACUGUCCCAUCCUCGGAAGAAAUUGGGUAGGACUCUUAAGAACUCCAAAGAAGCUCAUCAGUGUGGCCUCACUGAGGACAUGCCCUCCUAUCCAAAUCAUCAAUUUCCCUGUAAACUGUAGCAACCUCAUUAGAAUAGUAAGUUUGAGUUAAUUGAAGUUAAUAAAUGUUAAAUUAGAAUUAAUAAAUUCAGCACUGAUUACCAACAGGUAUAAGCCUUGUGACUUUGGAAAUACAGCCUCCUUUGGAAAACAGGCUAAAAAAGCCUAAAAAAUUGCUCUCUGUUUUCCUGCAGGAGACCCAGGAAAGAGAAAUGUGAAAGGCAGAUGGAUGCAUAGAGGAACUGAAAAAAAUGGACAAAGACCACAACAACAGUGUGCAUAAUGGCCAACCACAUCUUCAGUAAGAUUGACCAUCUUUACAACCUAAUCCAAAAUGACUUCCCUUAAAGAUAGGUAUUUCAGGGGAAUGGUGCUUUGCAUGAAAGAAGCAGUGCCUGGGGAAAGAAAAGAAACAAUGUAAAAUGAGGCUUGAACAAGAGGACUGUGCUUGAAUACAGCAUGACUGAAAACAGCUGUUGACGUGAGGUCUGAAACUGCCCUUCACCACUCAGUGCACUGGCUUCCAGUGAAGAGAGCAUAAAGGAGAGAUGGGGAACUUGGCUGUAGCCUCACUGACUUUUAUUUGACAUAGAAAGCGAACAUGGGACAAGAGUAUUAGCAUGAGGAUAACUGAACAAAUGGUAUUAUAUUCCUGAUAAAGCCAGAAGCAAAAUGGAUACUUUCAGAAGUGUAAUCAGAGUUGAUUGGAUUGACAAUGCAGGACAUUUAUAUCAUUAAUAAGAACAGUACUGUUUUUUUUUUUUGCUGAACUAUUCUUCUAAGUGCUUUCCAAAACCACAGAGACAUCAUAUGCUGAUUUUCUUGGCAGAAAUCAAAGCUCUCUGUUCUUCCUCAUACAUGUAAGAUGUAAUAAUGUUGAUAUGUCUCCUCAGGGUUGCUAUUUUGAUAGUAUUACCUAUUCAGUGGUUUUCUCAGUUCUGCUUUUACUACUUAGCCUAGUUUUAAGGACAAGGAAUAGCAAACAUUCCGGAAUCAACAAAAGGGUAAAACAGGUCUACUAUUGAUAUCAGAACAAUUAGGGGACAAGUUCAGUGAAAAAUUUUACAUUGAUAUAUGAUGGUAUAGAUGAUUUUCAAAGUCUACUUCAUUAUUUAGUAGGAUGAGUCUGAAACAGCAACGUAGUGUGCAACACUGAUGGCAUAGCCCUACUGUACUGUAUAACAGCAUACUCCGUUAGAAUUAUGAAAUGUACUGUGAAACUGAGUGAUGUUCCAGAUUAGGAAAUUGUGAGAGCACAACCUCUCUUCUCAUCAAAAGGACGUUUAAGUUAGAAAAGCUAAUUAAAAGCUACUUAAUAGUUUAUCUAAAGAAGGAGCAUGGUGAGUACGGACAGCAAGCACAACUGUCACUAAGAUCUCCUCAGAAAUUGCAUGCUGCAUGAACGAUAGUUAUGUGUCCAUGUGAUCCAUGUAACUAAGGGAAGGUUUACAACAUGUAAUAUUCUUCAACUUGCUGUGACCACGCACAAAUUAAAUGCAUCAGCUGGGUAUUUUUCUCAAUAAAUUCUCUUGGACAGAGGGAA